GAAAAAGUAAACGUUUGUCUGCCGAAGACAAUCACGUGGUUCAAGGCCAUGUGCUUCCCUAUCAACAGUGCCGAGUUCGGCGCCAGUGAAAGGCAGGCGGUUUGCCGGAGCAACAAAGAGUCUUGAUUUUUAGAGGCAUGCAGGUUUUAAAGAAAGAUAACAGGCAGUGUUGAAAAGAAAGAAAAAGAUUUUCAACUCAAAGAAUUGCAGAUGACACACUGAGGGUUCAGGAACCAUAAAUUUGAUGUUGGAGUUUGAACUUCACCUUGAUAGACUUUAAGCACAUCAGAAGUUUUAGACCUAUGGAAAAAAAAUCUUGUAGUUGGAAGAUAAGGAAAACACAGCCGUGAAAAAAAUCAGAGAAAUCUUGUUAGAAGAGUGUGCUGGCCUGGACAAAAAGUUGCAAUGUGAAUAACUUAGAAGAAAAAAGAGUCUUGACAAAUUCCAGAGAAUUCUUGAUGAAAGAUUGCAUGUGUUGUUCCUAUUGUUCCAUGAUCUUUGUCCUUUUAACAAUAUUUAACACUUUAUUUGAAGUGACGCAUUUUUUAUUUUCAUUAUUGAAAUAUUUACAUUUGAUAUUCUAUUUAACCAUUGGGCCAAGAAAGGUGAAUACUCAUAUGGAAUCAUUGUCAGAUAGGGUAGAUUCAAGUUUGUACAAAUCAUGACCCCUUGGGUGUAGAGUAGGGCCACACUGAAAGUUCAAACUUGUAGUAAAAAAGGCCAAAGUCAAAAAUAUAAAAGCAUCCUUAUUUAGUGUAGGUUCAAUUUUGUCAAAUCAUACCCUUUUCUUUUACGGGUAGGUCAG